GCAGUGGUGGUUCAGUGGUAGAAUUCUCACCUUCCAUGUGGGAGACCUGGGUUCAAUUCCCGGCCAAUGCA
rnacentral:tRNA from 1 species